CAGCCGCCACGGUAAUACGAAGGGGGCUAGCGUUGCUCGGAAUGACUGGGCGUAAAGGGCGCGUAGGCGGACUGUUUAGUUAGGCGUGAAAUUCCUGGGCUUAACCUGGGGACUGCGCUUAAUACAGGCAGUCUAGAGUGAGGAAGAGGGUUGUGGAAUUCCCAGUGUAGAGGUGAAAUUCGUAGAUAUUGGGAAGAACACCGGUGGCGAAGGCGGCAACCUGGUCCUUGACUGACGCUGAGGCACGAAAGCUAGGGGAGCAAACAGGAUUAGAUACCCCAGUAGUCCCUGUCUCUUAUAC
rnacentral:rRNA from 1 species